GCGGGGGUUGUGAGUUAGCAUUACAUGUCAGUGGGUUAUAUCUUAACCCGUUGGACCUUUCGUAGGUUCGGUCGCACCGUCUUCACAGUCGAGAGACCUUCGUCAGAUACGUACAGGUGACGUAGCCGGUCCGAGUGGGACAGCUGGUGAGGAACGGGUCUAGCAUACGAUAGAGCUUUCCGUCCCGUGGUUUGGUUUAUCUACCCUUACUCUUCAUGAUUAAAUAAAUAACUAACUUAGACAUAUUAUGGUUCAGUUUUAUUUUACUAUUUGGAUA